rnacentral:misc_RNA from 1 species
AGAUUUGUAGUGAAGCCCAAUGUUGAUGCUGAAUUAGAUGACAAAAAAAGGACAUAUAACGGUCUGCCGGAUUUCAUGACAAAGUUAGCAGCAGAGGAGCUGGAGAGACUGAGUGAUGACAUCCAGGAGUGUAAUGUCAUCUACCUCCCACAGCUGGGUUAUCUAUUGGCGAUCCCACGUCUUGAUUACAUGCAGACAGAGGAAGACUUUGAAAUGCCAGGGCUAGAGUUUGUGAGUUGGAUAUACUUUUGGGAGAUACACAGUGUGAGAUUACAGACCAAGAAACUGCCAUCAUGCACAAGCUACAGAAUGCCAUCCUGGAGAGUUAUAGAACCCUGACUGAGGUGCAGGAUCUGUGUGCUGAGCUGGACUGCUUACUGUCACUAGCUGCCUCUGCAACAGAGUUUAACUAUGUCAGACCUUCAGUUGUUAGUGAAGGAGUUAUCAACAUCAAUGGAGGAAGACACCCAAUCCAAGAAGUUUGCUGCAGUCCUUUUGUGCCAAAUGAUACUCUAAGUAACACAAACAACGGAAAGAUGAAAGUUCUUACUGGGCCAAAUGCAUCCGGAAAGAGCGUCUAUCUGAAACAGGUAGCUCUGAUAGUAUACAUGGCUCACAUUGGUAGCUUUGUUCCAGCAGAAUCCGCGGUGAUUGGCUGUGUGGACAGGAUAUUCACUCGGAUAAGGACAAUGGACAGUGUGUCUGUGGGUCUGUCAACCUUCAUGAUCGAUGUGAACCAGAUGUCAGAGGCUUUAAGGGAUGCUACAGAGAGGUCUUUAGUUGUAGUUGAUGAGUUUGGUAAAGGAACAGAGCUGGUGGAUGGAAUGGCUCUGCUGUGUUCUUGUCUGUCAUUCUGGAUUGACAAAGGCAAGUCCUGUCCCCAUGUGUUGGUGUCCACACAUUUUCACAGCAUCAUUCACCAGCAGCUGCUCCCAGAGUCACCAAUGGUUAAAUUCCUGACAAUGGACAGUCUGACAGAGGAGGGGGAUCUCCUGUUCCUGUACCAGCUGGUGGAGGGACAUGCCAGGUCAAGCUAUGCCAGUCAUGUGGCUCUACAGGCAGGGCUGCCCCAGGAAAUUGUCAAAAGGGGCAAAGAGGUAUCUGAGCUGAUCCGACAGAACAAGCCAGUUUACGCCAUUGACACAGCUGACACAGAAACUCAUUUUAAAAGGAGUGAACUUAUUGUCAAAAAGUUUUUGGACCUGGACUUGGAAACAGAUGAUUUGGAAAGUUUCCUGAGAGAUUUUGUGAUGCCAACAAGUGAAGGGAAGCUGUGAAAGUGUUUCCUAAGAACUGCAGUAGAAAGAAACCAUUGAUCUGGAAAUCAUUCAGUAGUAUGAUGAAAUUGAAGUUAAUUAGGCGCAAUGCUUAAUUUAAGCAUUACACUAGUACAUGUACAACUAAGAAAUCAUAGCACUGAAAAAUGGAGGGGAUUUUGUUUAAAUUAUACCUUUUUUAUAGAGAAAUAUAUUGAACAGCAGUCUGAUUGAAAUCUGAUCAUUGAUGAUUCAAAUACUUGCUUCGAUCAUUUUCAUCAUGCUUUUAGUUUCAAUAAACUGUUGAAUGUU